rnacentral:misc_RNA from 1 species
AAGUCGUAACAAGGUUUCCGUAGGUGAACCUGCGGAAGGAUCAUUACAUUCAGUAGCUUGCUACUGUUAGGGGGGUCGAUCAGCCUGUAUAGUAUCACUACUGAUGAGCAGCACAACCCCCUGUCUGUACCCUUGUCUUUUGCGCACUCAUGUUUCCUCGGCGGGUCUAUGCCCGCCGGCUGGACAACUCUAUAACCUUUUUUAAUUUUCAAUCAGCGUCUGAAAAACCUAAUAAUUACAACUUUCAACAACGGAUCUCUUGGUUCUG